AUUAUUUGCACACAGUACUGAAUAGUUGUAUAUCGUGUGCAAACGAACUAAACAUAUUUUAUUCAUCUUGUUUUGAGCACAAACACCACUUUCCUCAAGGAAUUAUUUGCACUUCGUAAUCAAAGAAUUCCACUUUAAGAAAAAUGUCUGACCCAUGCAACUGCCAAAAAACGGGAAAUUGUCAGUGUUCAGGCAUCUGUCCCUCCACUGGGUGUAAUUGUGCUUCUGGGUGUAAAUGUGUAGCGGGCUGUAAAUGUCCCGGAUGUAAGAUUGUAAAUACAGUGCAGGUUUCUGCGCAUACGGAAUAGAGUGUAUCCGACCUGACACGUGUAAAUGUGCUACGGGGUGUAGCUGCAAAUAGUGAAUAAAUGUUUGCAUGAAAAGACAUCAUUCAUUUGUUAAUAGUGUACAUAACAAUAAAUACAUAAUGUUGAUCAUUAUCCAGAUUUUCAUAUGUUUUUUUUUAUACAUUAUGUGUUUUUGUUCAUGAAAUAAAUAAUUGAAAUUAAAAGUU